AAACAAACGAAACUGAGAACGUUGGCGAGAGCCCCGGGAAGAGCUCUCUUUUCUUUUUAAUAAUUUGAUGGACCUUGGAAUCGGAUUGACCGACGAUAAGGGUCAGUGACUGGCAAGCAAUUUUGAUGUCUAUUUUCGAUGUUU
rnacentral:rRNA from 1 species